UAAAGCUAAGAAAAGCAGAGAUUUUGUCUCGUACCUUUUGCAUCAUGAUUUAGCAAGUAUUUGCCAAGCAAAAAGUAUUUUAGUUUGGCCCCCCGAAACCAAGUGAGCUACUCCAAGACAACCUAUAACUAGGGUAAACCCGUCUCUGUGGCAAAAGAGUGGGAAGAUCUUUGAGUAGAGGUGACAGACCAAUCGAACUUGGCAAUAGCUGGUUGCUUGAGAAACGAAUAGAAGUUCUGCCUCUUACAUUCUCACUUCAAUCCUGGUCAACAAGACCUUGUCCGCAGGUAAAAAGAAGGUAAGAAGGUUAAUCAAAGGGGGUACAGCCCUUUUGAGACAAAACACAACUUUUCCAGAAGGGUAAAGAUCAUAAUUUUUAAGGUAACUAUGUUUUGGUGGGCCUAAAAGCAGCCAUCCCAUUAGAAAGCGUUAAAGCUCUAACAUACUUUCCCCCUCGAUUCCGAUAACAAAUCUUAACCCCCUAAUACAUAUCAAGCCGUCCCAUAAGUAUAUGGGAGUGAUUAUGCUAAAAUGAGUAACCAGAGAGCACUGCCUCUCUCCCUGUACAUGUGUAAAUCGGAACGGACUCCCCGCCGAAAUUUAACGGUCCCAAACAAUAGAGGGCACUGAAUGAUAAACAACAAACAAGAAAAUCAUCCAAAACACUACCGUUAACCCUACACAGGUGUACUCCAAAGGAAAGACCAAAAGGAAAAGAAGGAACUCGGCAAAUACACCUAUAAGCCUCGCCUGUUUACCAAAAACAUCGCCUCUUGUUAAUUACACAUAAGAGGUCUAGCCUGCCCCGUGACCCCUGGUUCAACGGCCGCGGUAUUUUGACCGUGCAAAGGUAGCGCAAUCACUUGUCUCUUAAAUGAAGACCCGUAUGAAUGGCAUAACGAGGGCUUGACUGUCUCCUUUUCCCGGUCACUGAAAUUGAUCUUCCCGUGCAGAAGCGGAAAUUCUCACAUAAGACGAGAAGACCCUAUGGAGCUUUAGACCUCAGAACAGGCCAUGUAAGCUACCUCAAUAAAAUAGGUAAUAACUAUUGAACCUCUGUUCCCCUGUCUUUGGUUGGGGCGACCACGGGGAAGAAAAAAUCCCCCAUGUGGACCAGGAGCACAAUUUACUCCUACAACAAUGAGCUACAGCUCUAAAGCACAGAAUCUUUGACCAUAAGAUCCGGCAAAGCCGAUUAACGAACCAAGUUACCCUAGGGAUAACAGCGCAAUCCUCUUUAAGAGUCCAUAUCGACAAGAGGGUUUACGACCUCGAUGUUGGAUCAAGACAUCCUAAUGGUGCAGCCGCUAUUAAGGGUUCGUUUGUUCAACGAUUAAAGUCUU
rnacentral:rRNA from 1 species